ACUUGGCCACACCUCUUAUUACUACUGUAAGAUAGAGCCUCUGUGUCCUGGGAUAAAAUGAUCUGUUUUUGUUCUUAUUUCAGCAGAA